AGCAGCCGCGGUAAUUCCAGCUCCAAUAGCGUAUAUUAAAGUUGUUGCAGUUAAAAAGCUCGUAGUUGAAUUUCGGGAUCAAGGAAUCGGUCAUGCCUUGGUAUGUACUGGUUUUAUUGGUUCUCACCUUCUAAAGAACCAUAAUGUCAUUCAUUUGAUGUUAUGGGGAAUUAGGACUGUUACCUUGAAAAAAUUAGAGUGUUUAAAGCAGGCUUACGCUUGAAUACAUUAGCAUGGAAUAAUGAAAUAGGACAUCCGAUUCUAUUUUGUUGGUUUCUAGGAUCGAUGUAAUGAUUAAUAGGGAUAGUUGGGGGCAUUAGUAUUCAAUUGUCAGAGGUGAAAUUCUUGGAUUUAUUGAAGACUAACUACUGCGAAAGCAUUUACCAAGGAUGUUUUCAUUAAUCAAGAACGAAAGUUAGGGGAUCGAAGACGAUCAGAUACCGUCGUAGU
rnacentral:rRNA from 1 species